AUGAUUUCUAUAGAUCGGGGAAAGAAGAACAAGCAUAAGUCAGAAUUUGAAAGCAACAAAACAAUUGAAUUCAAAAGAAAAAGAUUUAGAAUAUGCUGCAGCCGUCCGCGACUUUCACCACGGACACCAGCAAUGCAUCACAACUUACAACAUGGAACCACGCCCUCCACUCGUCACCGACAACUUCAGAUCCGCACCACUUAUUUUUCCCUCCAUCGAAUUCCGAUCAACAUCCCUUCGAUCACGCUUUUGAUCCACACAACCCCCAUCGACCGAACCAGCCUCUAA